AUUCUUACCUGGCAGGGGAGAUGCCAUGAUCAGGAAUGUGGUUUUCCCAGGGCGAGGCUCAUCCGUUGCACUCCGUAGGUGUGCUUACCCCUGUGAUUUCCCCAAAUGCGGGAAACUCGACUGCAUAAUUUGUGAUAGUGAGGAAGUGCAUUCCUGCUUUCUCCUGG
ensembl:snRNA U1 U1 spliceosomal RNA